AGUCGAACGAAGCACCUUGAUUUGAUUCUUCGGAUGAAGACCUUGGUGACUGAGUGGCGGACGGGUGAGUAACGCGUGGGUAACCUGCCUCAUACAGGGGGAUAACAGUUAGAAAUGACUGCUAAUACCGCAUAAGACCACAGCACCGCAUGGUGCAGGGGCAAAAACUCCGGUGGUAUGAGAUGGACCCGCGUCUGAUUAGGUAGUUGGUGGGGUAACGGCCUACCAAGCCGACGAUCAGUAGCCGACCUGAGAGGGUGACCGGCCACAUUGGGACUGAGACACGGCCCAAACUCCUACGGGAGGCAGCAGUGGGGAAUAUUGCACAAUGGGGGAAACCCUGAUGCAGCGACGCCGCGUGAGCGAUGAAGUAUUUCGGUAUGUAAAGCUCUACCAGCAGGGAAGAAAAUGACGGUACCUGACUAAGAAGCACCGGCUAAAUACGUGCCAGCAGCCGCGGUAAUACGUAUGGUGCAAGCGUUAUCCGGAUUUACUGGGUGUAA
rnacentral:rRNA from 1 species